rnacentral:rRNA from 1 species
UGGUGGAGUGAUUUGUCUGGUUAAUUCCGUUAACGAACGAGACCUCAGCCUGCUAAAUAGGUUGGCGAACAUUUUUGUUCGCUCAAUCUUCUUAGAGGGACUUUCGGUUUCUAGCCGAAGGAAGUUUGAGGCAAUAACA